GAUGAACGCUGGCGGCGUGCCUAAUACAUGCAAGUCGAGCGAACGGACGAGAAGCUUGCUUCUCUGAUGUUAGCGGCGGACGGGUGAGUAACACGUGGAUAACCUACCUAUAAGACUGGGAUAACUUCGGGAAACCGGAGCUAAUACCGGAUAAUAUUUUGAACCGCAUGGUUCAAAAGUGAAAGACGGUCUUGCUGUCACUUAUAGAUGGAUCCGCGCUGCAUUAGCUAGUUGGUAAGGUAACGGCUUACCAAGGCAACGAUGCAUAGCCGACCUGAGAGGGGGACGGGACACGCGGGAACGGAGCAGCGGUCCAGACUCAGAGGGGGGGAGGAAGGGGGGAUUCUUCAGAAAGGGGGGAAGGCGGGAGGGGGAAGGGCGGGGGGAGGGAGGAAGGUCUUGGGAUCGUAAAACUUUGUUAUUGGGGAAAAAAAGAUGGGAAGGAAACUGUGCACAUCUGGAGGGAACAAAAUAAGAAAGCCAGGGCAAAAGAGGGG
rnacentral:rRNA from 1 species